GGGAAUGUGGCUCAGUGGUAGAGCACUUGCCUAGCAUGUGCCAAGGUCCUGGGUUCAGUCCCAGCACUGUCA
rnacentral:tRNA from 1 species